GGGCAGGUUGGCAGAGGCCCUGGGGGUUUUUCGCCUUCCUCUGCAGCGUGGGGCACGGGUCACUUGCAGGUUUAAACUAGAGAAAAUGGUGGCUUCUCUGUAAUUUGAAGUCUUUAAGUCAUAAUUUGAUGACUUCACUAACUCAGCCAGAGCUUAGUGGUCUAUUGCAGGAGGGGGUGGGUGAGGUUCUGUGGCCUGUGAUGUGCAGGAAGUUAGACUAGAUGAUCACAAUGGUCCCUUCUGGC